rnacentral:rRNA from 1 species
UACGAAGGGAGCUAGCGUUGCUCGGAAUCACUGGGCGUAAAGCGCACGUAGGCGGAUUUGUCAGUCAGGGGUGAAAUCCCGGGGCUCAACCUCGGAACUGCCUUUGAUACAGCAAGUCUUGAGUUCGAGAGAGGUGGGUGGAAUUCCUAGUGUAGAGGUGAAAUUCGUAGAUAUUAGGAAGAACACCGGUGGCGAAGGCGGCCCACUGGCUCGAUACUGACGCUGAGGUGCGAAAGCGUGGGGAGCAAACAGG